AAGGAAAUCUCAGUAGCACUACAUGAAUUAACAACCACAUUCUCUAGGUCUUUGAAGAGACCUCUGUAAUGUGUGUGGGGGUGAGUAUAAAAUCAAGGAAGAAAAAGAGUGGUUCUUUAAAGAAGAGCACUGGAUGAGUUAAAAAGAGAAACCAAGAGUGAAGAAGGUUAAGUGACGAUGAAGAAAAGAAGGAAAGUAAUUAGAGUUCAGUCAGCUAAAGAUACAAUUUAAAGACUUCUCGUAAAGGAGCCAAGGUAGGAAUGAAAAAAAAAAAUAGAUUGCGAGGUUUCUAAGGGCUGCAGAAGCUUUAGGGCAAAUCAAAGAACUGUUACCAAUUCAAUAGAAUUUUAUAUUAUUUUAGGAGAUCGACUAACAGUCCAUUAGCUGUAAAGCCCAGGAUCAAGAAGAGAGCUGAAACAGAGGAAGAAUUAUGGAAGCCUCAUGUAUUUAAGGAUUUUGAUCUAGCAACAUGUUGAUGCUAGAAGGGUCCCAGAGAUAAUCUCCUAUGACCUCCUCACUUUACAGCUGAGGAAACUGAGGCCAGAAGAAUGGUGUUAAUUCCACAUGUGACUGAAUCUACUGCAGAGCAGGAUUUGAUGGCAUCCUCAAUAACUUGAAUUCCAGCCCUAAUCCUGACUCUGGCUUUUAGAGAGACAUUGAGAAAAUUGGGGCACCAGAAAGUUAAGUGAAUUUGUUCUUAUAUGUGGGGCAAAUCAGGGGCUGUUAAACAUGGCUGACUUCUGUGUGGUAUAAUUUCCAGGAUACGAGGCAAGACCUUUGUUGAAAGUGUUCUUUGCCAUGAUAGUUAAUGAGUUCUUGCUGCCCUGCGGCUAUCUCACCACCAUUAUCAAUGGGGAUAGUAGACUUAAGUUUAUACAUUGCUGUUGCUGUGGGAUUUUGCUAAGUUUUGACUGCCAUGUCUCUAUUCCCCCUCCUUUUGUUAACAAAAUGCUGAUUUUCUUUUGGAGAAUCAUUUCUUUUUCCAUUCUCAAUCUUUCUGCCUUAGAGGGAGCUCCAUACCCACAUUGAGAGGCCAGCAUGUGUGAUCGAAGUCUGGACACUUAACACUUCCUGUCAACUUUGCCGCAGGGCUUGGUUUAGGAAUGGGAGCAUAUCCUGAACUGUUAUAGUAAAACAAACAAACAAACAAACAAAAACACAAAAACUCUUCAGACUGGGAGAAUUGUUUCCAGGAAACGGUGACUCAUUUUUUCACUAGUAUUGAAUAUGGAGAGACAUAUGCUAAGGUAUCAGAGCCCCUUGUUUUUCUCAUGAAAAGAUGAGUGAUGUCAGAGAAUGCAGCCACGUGAAAGAAAGCAAAACUGUGAGAAGGAAAGACAGAAACCAGGCCCUAGUGCCAUCGCAGGAACUUCUAGAUUCCACUGUCAUUUUUAUUUUUAAGUUAUGUGAGUCAAAACUUUCCCUUUGUAUUUAAAAAAGUGGAGUUUGGGUUACUGUUGGUUGCAACUAAAGGACUGUUGACACGUUGACUGUUUACAUUCUAAUUUUCAUUGCUUUAUUUUCUAAAACUAAGAUUCGAUACUGGGGAAUUGAAGUGGAAGCAUAAAAGCAAUGGUUGUCUGAGAAAACAUGGAAAUAAGUCCAGUGAGGAGAAAAGGGGAAAGAAUGAAAAUUCUAGAGGUUUAGAUUUAUAAUUCAAAGGGGAGAUUCUAUAAAUUUUGAUUUUGUGUUGGAGCCCAUUAAAUUUAGUCUCUCUACUCAUAACUUUUGACAAGUGCAACUAUUUGGAAAUGCAGCAGAAGGUACAAUAGAAUAAACAAUUAAGACCGUUGUAUAGUUUAUGUUAUGAGCUGAAUUAUGCACCCCUCCUCCACCACCAUUGAAGCCCUAAUCCUCAGUACCUCAGAAUGUGA
rnacentral:lncRNA from 10 species